UUUCAGCCAUCCCAGGAUCAGACUUUGUAGGAACCGCCAGGGUCUGUAUGACUGUUCUGAAAGGAAGAGGCCAGGACUGGAAUGGAGGAGAAGAAGGAUAAGACUAAGGCUCUGGUCUGAUGUAGUAAGUCAAAGAAUGACCGCCCUGAGAUUUCCAGUCCUAACCCUGGACUUUAUAAAGUCACCUUUUCUAGCUUUUACCCUUGGGGAAAAGGGUCUUUGCAGGUGUGAGUACACUGAGGAUCUUCAGAUGAAAAGUUACCCUGUAUUACCAGCGUGGGCCACAACACCAUCACUGCUAUCUUUAUCAGAGAGAGGCAAAGGGAGCCAACACAGGCACACAGAGGGGGACCUCGGGUGCAGAUGUGGCCACAAGACAAGGAAUACUGCCAGCUGCCAGCGGCUGGAAGGGGUGAGGAGCAGAGUCUCCCUUUAAGCCUUUGAGCUUCCAGAGAGAGCGCAGCCCUACCCACAGCUUGAUUUUAGCCUUCUGGCCUCCAGAAGUGCCUAUCUCUAUUGUUUUAAGAGGAUAAUUCGAUCGGGAUAAAUUUCUACUGUUUUAAGCCAUCCAGGUUGUAGUCAUCUGUUACAGCAACCCCAAGAAAUUGAUACACCUAGCGUGGACAAGAUUGUAGCCUACAGUCUGACCCAGAUGCCAGUAAAUCGACCAAACUGGAUUCUGGAAGCACACCUUCCAAUGUGGGGUGCCCCAGGCAAGCACAGGCAGGGGUGAAAUCUCACUCCUAAUUGUCCGGGGAACAAGAUGAAAAGAAACUAAGAAGGCCGCCCUAGCAGCCAGAGGACCCGGAUGACUUUAAGCCCCUUCCCCAUUCGUGCUGUCCCCACCAGCAGGAACCAGGAGCAAGGACCCCCACCUCUGUGGGCGUAGCCCUCGUGCAGGGCCCCUGAAGACAGCUGUUGCUCUGUAUGGUUCAGGCCUGGGGACCGCUCACCUCCCCCUCAAAGUACACCCACCUGGGGCUGGCUCCAACUCCUUUAUGUCUGAUGCAGCAGAGAGUGGUGGAAAGCUACAGAGAAUGGACAAAACUCACAGACCAUCUGUUCAUCUUCUGUGUUUUGUGAAUUUAUUUUCAAAUGUUAAGCAUUUGAUAGCAGUUGUCAGGCAUUAUCUCCAAAGCUACCAUUUGGAUAAAGAUAUCCUCUUAAAUAUCCAGGAGAAUCACUCAGAGAUCAGUGAUUCUCCAGGGUUUGGAAGAAAGGAUUUCAGGAAGAAAAGCCAGACCAAGUCUUGCUGAAAGGACGGUGUAGGAAAUGGAGAAAUUUCUCAAUCGAGAAUCACAGGCUCUGGGAUGAAAGCCUAUGGAUAUCUCCUUGCCUUGGAGCCAGGCAGAUAAGCCAAGUGCAUGAAGCAUUCCAGGGGGGAAAAUCACAAGUGUUGUGAGCCAAGAGUUCUUGACUGGAAGAGUACCUUGUCCUGUCUGAUGUGAGCAACCACUGUGGUGUCCUCUCCCAGAGACAAUGUGCGGGAAUACAGGCCGGUAAUGCCAUAUUUUCCCAUUCCUCCAGAAAAGCUGGAAGUCUGGAUUUUUAUGUAAAACAUCCUGAUUUUAUUUUUAUUUUUUUAUUUUUUAAAACAUCCUGAUUUUAAAAUACGGGCCACGAAUUCUAAUUUUUUGAACCUCUAGGCUAUGCAAAUAAAAUAUGCCCAUUCGAUACUUAUUUCAAGCAGGCCACAAGCUUGAAACCUCUAAUGUACAAGAUCAAUGGGCACAUAUUUUCAGCCCUUUUAAAAGAAUGCUGAGGGUAUUUGGGGGGCCUUUUAUUUGCAGAACUCAUUAACUGGACGCUAUUAUAAUAACGUAUUAUAAUAAUGUAAAUACUAUAGUAAUUUAACGUUUACAGCGUGUCAAGCCCUAUCCUGGGGCUUUACCGUAAUAACUCACUUGACCCUCACAACAACCCUACAAGGUAGGGACCAUUAGUUUUGCCAUUUUACAGAGGAGGAAGCUGAAAGCUCAGAGGUUAAGGAACUUGCCCUAGAUAAGACAGCAGGUGGAAGAGCCAGAUUUUGAAUGCGGGCUGCCUUUAAAAAUUUGUGAUGAGGGAAAAAAAGAAAAAAGAAUUGUGAUGAGGGGCACCUGGGUGGCUCAGUCGGUUAA